rnacentral:misc_RNA from 1 species
AGAGCAUGAGCAAUAACCUCAUCAUUGUCAACAUUGCAAUAUGAUGGGUGAUAAGGGUUUUCUGUGGAAUAUUGUUCAUGACAGAUUUCAAUGUCAUGCUGUGUACUGUCACCGUAAUAGUUGGAACUAAAAAGUUGGUCCACAUCGAGAAAACUAAGAACCCCACGAGCAGCAUCAUAUUCUGGCUCACACGACAUUACACCUUUCAGAAAAAGUUGCCAAAGUCAAAAACGUCUUCUCACCCCUAAAUUGGAUCAAUCACUUGUACCUUUAAUUCGAUUCCACUUCAUAUGCUAUACAAAAAAAAAAUUAUAAAUUUGUGUUGUAUAAGCAGUGAUAAAGAU